rnacentral:rRNA from 1 species
UCGAGUGGCGAACGGGUGAGUAACACGUGAGUAACCUGCCCUUGACUUUGGGAUAACUUCAGGAAACUGGGGCUAAUACCGGAUAGGAGCUCCUGCUGCAUGGUGGGGGUUGGAAAGUUUCGGCGGUUGGGGAUGGACUCGCGGCUUAUCAGCUUGUUGGUGGGGUAGUGGCUUACCAAGGCUUUGACGGGUAGCCGGCCUGAGAGGGUGACCGGCCACAUUGGGACUGAGAUACGGCCCAGACUCCUACGGGAGGCAGCAGUGGGGAAUAUUGCACAAUGGGCGGAAGCCUGAUGCAGCAACGCCGCGUGCGGGAUGACGGCCUUCGGGUUGUAAACCGCUUUCGCCUGUGACGAAGCGUGAGUGACGGUAAUGGGUAAAGAAGCACCGGCUAACUACGUGCCAGCAGCCGCGGUGAUACGUAGGGUGCGAGCGUUGUCCGGAUUUAUUGGGCGUAAAGGGCUCGUAGGUGGUUGAUCGCGUCGGAAGUGUAAUCUUGGGGCUUAACCCUAAGCGUGCUUUCGAUACGGGUUGACUUGAGGAAGGUAGGGGAGAAUGGAAUUCCUGGUGGAGCGGUGGAAUGCGCAGAUAUCAGGAGGAACACCAGUGGCGAAGGCGGUUCUCUGGGCCUUUCCUGACGCUGAGGAGCGAAAGCGUGGGGAGCGAACAGGCUUAGAUACCCUGGUAGUCCACGCUGUAAACGGUGGGUACUAGGUGUGGGGUCCAUUCCACGGGUUCCGUGCCGUAGCUAACGCUUUAAGUACCCCGCCUGGGGAGUACGGCCGCAUGUCUAAACUCAAAGGAAUUGACGGGGCCCCGCACAAGCGGCGGAGCAUGCGG